rnacentral:rRNA from 1 species
GGCCGGCCUCCAACCCCACGUGAAGCUCCUUCGACGAGUCGAGUUGUUUGGGAAUGCAGCUCAAAACGGGUGGUAAAUUUCAUCUAAAGCUAAAUAUCUGCCAGAGACCGAUAGCGCACAAGUAGAGUGAUCGAAAGAUGAAAAGCACUUUGGAAAGAGGGUCAAACAGUACGUGAAAUUGUUGAAAGGGAAGCGCUUGCGACCAGACCUGCCCGUCGAUGUUCAGCGAGGGUUCUUCCCCGUGUAUUCAUCGGCGAGCAGGCCAGCAUCGGUUCCGGCGGUCGGAAAAAGGCCUGGGGAAUAUAGCUCCUCUCGGGGAGUGUUAUAGCCCUUGGCGACAUACGUCCAGCGGGGACCGAGGACCGCGCCUUAGGCAAGGAUGCUGGCAUAAUGGCUGUAAGCGG